rnacentral:rRNA from 1 species
AUGUCCCGCCUCCGCCCCCGCCGCUCCUCCACCACGCCCAUGUUCCACCUCCUCCGCCGUAGCUCCUCCUCUACCUCCACCUCCACCCCCACCUUGCGGCCCUCGCGUUCCUGGUCUCCCCACGCCGCCUUUGCCGCCGCCACGGAGCGCGUCCGCGCCGGGACGCUCAGCCCUGAAGACGCGCACCACCUGUUCGACGAAUUGCUACGGCAGGCCACCCCGGUCCCCAGCCGCUCCCUGGACGGUUUCAUUGCCGCCCUCGCCCGUGCGCCCGCCUCCGCCGCCUGCAUCAGAGAUGGUCCCGCCCUCGCCCUUGGCCUCUUCAACCGCGUCUGCCGUGAUGAAGCCGGCGCGCGGGUGGCACCACGCACAAUCUUCACUUACGGCAUCCUCAUGAACUGCUGCUGCUGCGCACAUCGCCCGGACCUAGGGCUUGCCUUAUUCGGCCGCUUCCUCAGGACGGGCAUGAAGGCAAAUGAAAUCAUUGCCACCACCUUCCUCAAGUGCCUCUGCUCCGCCAAACGUACAGAUGAGGCUGUCAACUUGCUGCUUCAUAGGAUUCCCGAGCUUGGCUGCGUGCGUAAUGCCUUCUCAUACUCCAUUGUUCUGAAGAGCUUUUGCGAGAAUAGCAUGAGUCAGCGGGGGCUCGACCUGCUCCAGAUGAUGGCGAAAGAAGGAGGCGCCUGCUCCCCCAACGUGGUGGCAUAUAGCACGGUCAUCCAUGGCUUCUUUAAGGAAGGCGAAACAGGCAAGGCAUGCAAUCUAUUCCAUGAAAUGAUGCAGCAAGGUGUUGUGCCCACUGUGGCGACAUAUAACUCGAUUAUUGAUGCGUUGUGCAAGGCCAGAGCAAUGGACAAGGCAGAGAUAGUCCUUCGGCAGAUGGUUGAUAAUGGUGCUCAACCGGAUAAUUGGACAUAUAAUUGCAUGAUCCAUGGAUAUUCGACAUCAGGGCAGUUGAGAGAGGCUACUAAAAUGUUAAGAAAAAUGACAACCCGGGGUCUUAUACCAGAUAUUGUUACUUGCAGCUCGCUCAUGGCUUCCCUUUGCAAGCAUGGAAGAAGCAAAGAAGCGUCAGACUUUUUUGUUCCAUGA